rnacentral:rRNA from 1 species
UACGUAGGGUGCGAGCGUUGUCCGGAAUUAUUGGGCGUAAAGGGCUCGUAGGCGGCCUGUUGCGUCUGCCGUGAAAGCCCGGGGCUUAACUCCGGGUCUGCGGUGGAUACGGGCAGGCUAGAGUUCGGUAGGGGAGACUGGAAUUCCUGGUGUAGCGGUGAAAUGCGCAGAUAUCAGGAGGAACACCGGUGGCGAAGGCGGGUCUCUGGGCCGACACUGACGCUGAGGAGCGAAAGCGUGGGGAGCGAACAGGAUUAGAUACCCUGGUAGUCCCUGA